rnacentral:rRNA from 1 species
UACGGAGGGUGCUAGCGUUGUUCGGAAUUACUGGGCGUAAAGCGCGCGUAGGCGGUCUUGUACGUUAGAGGUGAAAGUCCGGGGCUCAACCCCGGAAUUGCCUUUAAGACUGCAUCGCUUGAAUCCGGGAGAGGUGAGUGGAAUUCCGAGUGUAGAGGUGAAAUUCGUAGAUAUUCGGAAGAACACCAGUGGCGAAGGCGGCUCACUGGACCGGUAUUGACGCUGAGGUGCGAAAGCGUGGGGAGCGAACAGG